GACGAACGCUGGCGGCGUGCUUAACACAUGCAAGUCGAACGGAAAGACCCUGCUUUUGUGGGGUGCUCGAGUGGCGAACGGGUGAGUAACACGUGAGUAACCUGCCCUUGACUUUGGGAUAACUUCAGGAAACUGGGGCUAAUACCGGAUAGGAGCUCCUGCUGCAUGGUGGGGGUUGGAAAGUUUCGGCGGUUGGGGAUGGACUCGCGGCUUAUCAGCUUGUUGGUGGGGUAGUGGCUUACCAAGGCUUUGACGGGUAGCCGGCCUGAGAGGGUGACCGGCGACAUUGGGACUGAGAUACGGCCCAGACUCCUACGGGCGGCAGCAGUGGGGAAUAUUGCACAAUGGGCGGAAGCCUGAUGCAGAAACGCCGCGUGCGGGAUGCCGGCCUUCGGGUUGUAAACCGCUUUCGCCUGUGACGAAGCGUGAGUGACGGUAAUGGGUAAAGAAGCACCGGCUAACUACGUG
rnacentral:rRNA from 1 species